CCUACGGGUGGCAGCAGUGAGGAAUAUUGGUCAAUGGCCGAAAGGCUGAACCAGCCAUGUCGCGUGCAGGAAGACGGCUCUAUGAGUUGUAAACUGCUUUUGUACGAGGGUAAACACAGAUACGUGUAUCUGCUUGAAAGUAUCGUACGAAUAAGGAUCGGCUAACUCCGUGCCAGCAGCCGCGGUAAUACGGAGGAUCCAAGCGUUAUCCGGAUUUAUUGGGUUUAAAGGGUGCGUCGGCGGUAUAGUAAGUCAGCGGUGAAAUUUUGGGGCUCAACACCGAACUUGCCGUGGAUACUGCAGAGCUAGAGAGUGCUUGAGGUAGGCGGAAUGUAUGGUGUAGCGGUGAAAUGCUUAGAGAUCAUACAGAACUCCGAUUGCGAAGGCAGCUUACCA
rnacentral:rRNA from 1 species